rnacentral:rRNA from 1 species
UACGAAGGGGGCUAGCGUUGUUCGGAAUUACUGGGCGUAAAGCGUGCGCAGGCGGCUUCUCAAGUCAGGGGUGAAAGCCCAGAGCUCAACUCUGGAACUGCCUUUGAGACUGAGUGGCUUGAGUACGAGAGAGGUGAGUGGAAUUCCCAGUGUAGAGGUGAAAUUCGUAGAUAUUGGGAAGAACACCGGUGGCGAAGGCGGCUCACUGGCUCGUAACUGACGCUCAUGCACGACAGCGUGGGGAUCAAGCAGG